rnacentral:rRNA from 1 species
GACGAACGCUGGCGGUGUGCUUAACACAUGCAAGUCGAACGGAAAGGCCCUGCUUUUGUGGGGUGCUCGAGUGGCGAACGGGUGAGUAACACGUGAGUAACCUGCCCUUGACUUUGGGAUAACUUCAGGAAACUGGGGCUAAUACCGGAUAGGAGCUCCUGCUGCAUGGUGGGGGUUGGAAAGUUUCGGCGGUUGGGGAUGGACUCGCGGCUUAUCAGCUUGUUGGUGGGGUAGUGGCUUACCAAGGCUUUGACGGGUAGCCGGCCUGAGAGGGUGACCGGCCACAUUGGGACUGAGAUACGGCCCAGACUCCUACGGGAGGCAGCAGUGGGGAAUAUUGCACAAUGGGCGGAAGCCUGAUGCAGCAACGCCGCGUGCGGGAUGACGGCCCUCGGGUUGUAAACCGCUUUCGCCUGUGACGAAGCGUGAGUGACGGUAAUGGGUAAAGAAGCACCGGCUAACUACGUG